rnacentral:rRNA from 1 species
GACAGAGGGGGCAAGCGUUGCUCGGAAUUACUGGGCGUAAAGGGCGCGUAGGCGGGAUGGCAAGUCGGUCGUGAAAGCCUUCGGCUCAACCGAAGAACGUCGGCCGAUACUGCCGUUCUUGAGGGAUGCAGAGGAGACUGGAAUUCCCGGUGUAGCGGUGAAAUGUGUAGAGAUCGGGAGGAACACCGGUGGCGAAGGCGGGUCUCUGGACCUGUCCUGACGCUCAGGCGCGAAAGCUAGGGGAGCGAACAGG